rnacentral:rRNA from 1 species
CCUACGGGAGGCAGCAGUGAGGAAUAUUGGUCAAUGGGCGAGAGCCUGAACCAGCCAAGUCGCGUGAGGGAGUACUGCCCUAUGGGUUGUAAACCUCUUUUGUCGGGGAGCAAAAGCCGGACGUGUCCGGCUGUGAGAGUACCCGAAGAAAAAGCAUCGGCUAACUCCGUGCCAGCAGCCGCGGUAAUACGGAGGAUGCGAGCGUUAUCCGGAUUUAUUGGGUUUAAAGGGUGCGCAGGCGGAUUUUUAAGUCAGCGGUAAAAUCGUGGGGCUCAACCCCAUCCAGCCGUUGAAACUGGGGAUCUAGAGUGGGCGAGAGGUAUGCGGAAUGCGUGGUGUAGCGGUGAAAUGCAUAGAUAUCACGCAGAACCCCGAUUGCGAAGGCAGCAUACCGGUGCACAACUGACGCUCAGGCACGAAAGCGUGGGUAUCGAACAGGAUUAGAUACCCUUGUAGUC